rnacentral:rRNA from 1 species
AACGAACGCUGGCGGCAGGCUUAACACAUGCAAGUCGAACGGAUCCUUCGGGAUCAGUGGCGGACGGGUGAGUAACGCGUGGGAACCUACCCUGGGGUGGGGAAUAACCUUGGGAAACCGAGGCUAAUACCGCAUACGCCCUAUUGGGGAAAGACUAUGUUGCCCUGGGAUGGGCCCGCGUCCGAUUAGCUAGUUGGUGGGGUAAUGGCCUACCAAGGCUGCGAUCGGUAGCUGGUCUGAGAGGAUGAUCAGCCACACUGGGACUGAGACACGGCCCAGACUCCUACGGGAGGCAGCAGUGGGGAAUAUUGGACAAUGGGGGCAACCCUGAUCCAGCCAUGCCGCGUGAGUGAAGAAGGCCUUAGGGUUGUAAAGCUCUUUCACCCGUGACGAUGAUGACGGUAGCGGAGAAGAAGCCCCGGCUAAUUCCGUGCCAGCAGCCGCGGUAA